AAAGCUCAAGCGGUACUAACUGCCGUCCCCCGUUUUUUACCCUAUUUUGUAGGUUUUGAUGCACUCGCAGUCGCAGCGCAGUCGCGGCGCAGCAGCAGCGCAUUUCGAAUGCGAGGCGAAGCAGCGCGGCAAAGAAGAAGUUAUCAUCUCUCGCUCACCGCGCUUUGCUCAUUAUUCGCAUUUAUGCUUUCCCGGCGGCCACUGCAAGUGCACUCAAAAUCCAACGGCCAACUCGACCGAUCCACCGUUCUUACACUCAUAAAAAUUAAAGCUUUCAUAUAAAAAACAUUUUUGGAAAUAUUUAUUCAAUAAUAUUUGCCCAUGAAUGGAUAGUAUUCAAAAGAACUAAGUUGCAAAAAGCUCAAAAAGGUAAAACAAGUAGUGGCAGUCCAAUAAUGUUCCAUGUAAACGUACCAAUAUCUUUACUAUAAUGCAGAUAAUAAUAAUAAAUAAUAAUUUAACAUUUUGAAGAGA